UACGUAGGGUGCGAGCGUUGUCCGGAAUUACUGGGCGUAAAGAGCUCGUAGGUGGUUUGUCGCGUUGUUCGUGAAAACUCACAGCUUAACUGUGGGCGUGCGGGCGAUACGGGCAGACUGGAGUACUGCAGGGGAGACUGGAAUUCCUGGUGUAGCGGUGGAAUGCGCAGAUAUCAGGAGGAACACCGGUGGCGAAGGCGGGUCUCUGGGCAGUAACUGACGCUGAGGAGCGAAAGCGUGGGGAGCGAACAGGAUUAGAAACCCCUGUAGUCC
rnacentral:rRNA from 1 species